UACGUAGGGGGCAAGCGUUGUUCGGAAUUACUGGGCGUAAAGGGCGCGUAGGCGGCACGGCAAGUCAGGAGUGAAAGCCCUGGGCUCAACCCGGGAACUGCUUUUGAAACUGCCGAGCUAGAGUGCGGAAGGGGCAACUGGAAUUCCCAGUGUAGCGGUGAAAUGCGUAGAUAUUGGGAAGAACACCUGAGGCGAAGGCGGGUUGCUGGGCCGACACUGACGCUGAGGAGCGAAAGCCAGGGGAGCAAACGGG
rnacentral:rRNA from 1 species